rnacentral:rRNA from 1 species
AUUACCCAAUCACGACACGUGGAGGUAGUGACAAGAAAUAACAAAGCAAGCCAGUAUUCUGGUUUUGCUAUUGGAAUGAGUAGGAUUUAAAUCUCUUUACGACUAUCAAUUGGAGGGCAAGUCUGGUGCCAGCAGCCGCGGUAAUUCCAGCUCCAAUAGCGUAUAUUAAAGUUGUUGCGGUUAAAAAGCUCGUAGUUGGAUUUCUGUUGAGGACGGCCGGUCCGCACUAUGUGCGUGUAUCUGGUUCGGCCUUGGCAUCCUCUUGAGGAACGUUCCUGCGCUUGAUUGCGUGGGGCGGUAUUCAAGACUUUUACUUUGAGGAAAUUAGAGUGUUCACGGCAGGCAAGCGCCUUGAAUACAUUAGCAUGGAAUAAUAAUAUAGGAUCUUGGUUCUAUUUGUUGGUUUCUAGGGCUAAGGUAAUGAUUAAUAGGGAUAAUUGGGGGCAUUUGUAUUAACGCGUCAGAGGUGGAAUUCUUGGAUUGCGUUACGACAAACUACUGCGAAAGCAUUUGCCAAGGAUGUUUUCAUUGAUCAAGAACGAAAGUAUGGGGAUCGAAGAUGAUUAGAUACCGUCGUAGUCUAUACCAUAAACUAUGCCGACUAGGGAUUGGAGGUCGUUCUUUUUAUGACUCCUUCAGCACCUUAUGAGAAAUCAAAGUCUUUGGGUUCCGGGGGGAGUAUAGUCGCAAGGCUGAAACUUAAAGGAAUUGACGGAAGGGCACCACCAGGAGUGGAGCCUGCGGCUUAAUUUGACUCAACACGGGGAAACUCACCAGGUCCAGACAUAGUAAGGAUUGACAGAUUGAUAGCUCUUUCUUGAUU